rnacentral:tRNA from 2 species
GGGCGGAUGGUUUAGUGGUAUAAUACUCCCUUAGCAAGUUUCCGUUUACGGAUUCGUGAUUGGGAGUGGUCCGGGGUUCGAUUCCCCGUUCGUCCA